CCUGCCUGUAAGACUGGGAUAACUCCGGGAAACCGGGGCUAAUACCGGAUAGUUCUUUUCCUCGCAUGAGGAAAAGUGGAAAGGCGGCUUCGGCUGCCACUUACAGAUGGACCCGCGGCGCAUUAGCUAGUUGGUGAGGUAACGGCUCACCAAGGCAACGAUGCGUAGCCGACCUGAGAGGGUGAUCGGCCACACUGGGACUGAGACACGGCCCAGACUCCUACGGGAGGCAGCAGUAGGGAAUCUUCCGCAAUGGACGAAAGUCUGACGGAGCAACGCCGCGUGAGUGAUGAAGGUUUUCGGAUCGUAAAGCUCUGUUGUUAGGGAAGAACAAGUGCCGUUCGAAUAGGGCGGCACCUUGACGGUACCUAACCAGAAAGCCACGGCUAACUACGUGCCAGCAGCCGCGGUAAUACGUAGGUGGCAAGCGUUGUCCGGAAUUAUUGGGCGUAAAGCGCGCGCAGGCGGUCUCUUAAGUCUGAUGUGAAAGCCCACGGCUCAACCGUGGAGGGUCAUUGGAAACUGGGGGACUUGAGUACAGAAGAGGAAAGUGGAAUUCCACGUGUAGCGGUGAAAUGCGUAGAUAUGUGGAGGAACACC
rnacentral:rRNA from 2 species